ensembl:misc_RNA Metazoa_SRP Metazoan signal recognition particle RNA
GCUGGGCAUGGUGGUGUGUGCCUGUAAUCCCAGCUACUUGGGAGGCUGAGGCAGGAGAAUCACUUGAACCCAGGAGGUGGAGGUUGCAGUGAGCCAAGAUCAUGCCACUUCACUCCAGCCUGGGAAACAGAGUGAGACUCUGUCUCAA